ensembl:lncRNA LINC01081 long intergenic non-protein coding RNA 1081
GAUUCAUUUCCCCGGCUUUUUGCAGGGUGGGGAGGACAGAGAAGCUGCAGGGAGAGAUGAAGUUUUUUCCUUGAGGAUGAAAAGCUCUUAACCUUGCACGUUUGGCUUCUUCUAUUCAAUUUUUUUAAAAGCAGAGAUAGGGAGGUAUGUGAUUAAUAGCAAAAGACAGCAUUUAAGGACCGCCAGGUGCCAGGUGUUCUAAACGUGCCAUGUAUUUUAGCUCACAGAAUCCUCCCCACAAAGCCGAGAAGCAGGAAGCAGCAACCCUCCCAGAUGAAGAAGCGAAGGCUCGGAAAAGCUAAGUAACUUCUCCAAGCUGACGCAGCUCGUGAGAGGAGGGACUGGGAUUCAAAUCCCUGCAGGGGGAGACCAGCAGCCCCGACUUCAGCCGCCAUGCCUCCUGCCUGAGAAGCUAGCUGCGAAGGUUCCAGAAGGAGACUGCCCUCCGGGAACAGAAACAGCGCAUGACUGCGACCUGUCUGCAAAAAUCUUGAUCACUUGUAAAUCCUUCUCCACCUGAUAAGUUAUCACAUUGGCUCAUGAUGUUUUUUUUCAUUCUCACCCUAUGGCGUGGAUGCUGUUACUACCCCAUUUUACAAAGGAGUAAAGUGAGGCCCAGAGAGAACAGUUAAAUCACUUCCCCAGCUUCACUCAACUCAUCUACGGUGAGUCGACGGUACACAUGCCCUUCCACAACACAAAGGUCUCCACUUUGCCACGUGUCACUCUGAUGGUUCCAGGUGCAGAUUUUGCGUCUGCUUCUUGACUUCUAAUGGCUGCACCAUUUUGCAUUGGAUGGUUAUACCAUCAUUUAUUUGACUCAUCUCCUGUGCACAAGCAUCUAGUUUAUCUGCAAACUUUUGCUACCAAAAACAAUGCUGCAAUGAAUAAAUAAGCUGAUGCCUGCUUCUAAGC